rnacentral:rRNA from 1 species
UAAAUUGAGAGUUUGAUCCUGGCUCAGGACGAACGCUGGCGGCGUGCCUAAUACAUGCAAGUCGAACGAAGCUUUCUUUCACCGAAUGCUUGCAUUCACCGAAAGAAGCUUAGUGGCGAACGGGUGAGUAACACGUAGGCAACCUGCCCAAAAGAGGGGGAUAACACUUGGAAACAGGUGCUAAUACCGCAUAACCAUGAACACCGCAUGAUGUUCAUGUAAAAGACGGCUUUUGCUGUCGCUUUUGGAUGGGCCUGCGGCGUAUUAACUUGUUGGUGGGGUAACGGCCUACCAAGGUGAUGAUACGUAGCCGAACUGAGAGGUUGAUCGGCCACAUUGGGACUGAGACACGGCCCAAACUCCUACGGGAGGCAGCAGUAGGGAAUCUUCCACAAUGGACGAAAGUCUGAUGGAGCAACGCCGCGUGAAUGAAGAAGGCCUUCGGGUCGUAAAAUUCUGUUGUCAGAGAAGAACGUGCGUGAGAGUAACUGUUCACGUAUUGACGGUAUCUGACCAGAAAGCCACGGCUAACUACGUGCCAGCAGCCGCGGUAAUACGUAGGUGGCGAGCGUUGUCCGGAUUUAUUGGGCGUAAAGGGAACGCAGGCGGUCUUUUAAGUCUGAUGUGAAAGCCUUCGGCUUAACCGAAGUAGUGCAUUGGAAACUGGAAGACUUGAGUGCAGAAGAGGAGAGUGGAACUCCAUGUGUAGCGGUGAAAUGCGUAGAUAUAUGGAGGAACACCAGUGGCGAAGGCGGCUCUCUGGUCUGUAACUGACGCUGAGGCUCGAAAGCGUGGGGAGCAAACAGGAUUAGAUACCCUGGUAGUCCACGCCGUAAACGAUGAGUGCUAAGUGUUGGAGGGUUUCCGCCCUUCAGUGCUGCAGCUAACGCAUUAAGCACUCCGCCUGGGGAGUACGACCGCAAGGUUGAAACUCAAAGGAAUUGACGGGGGCCCGCACAAGCGGUGGAGCAUGUGGUUUAAUUCGAAGCAACGCGAAGAACCUUACCAGGUCUUGACAUCUUCUGACAAUUCCAGAGAUGGAACGUUCCCUUCGGGGACAGAAUGACAGGUGGUGCAUGGUUGUCGUCAGCUCGUGUCGUGAGAUGUUGGGUUAAGUCCCGCAACGAGCGCAACCCUUAUUGUCAGUUGCCAUCAUUAAGUUGGGCACUCUGGCGAGACUGCCGGUGACAAACCGGAGGAAGGUGGGGAUGACGUCAAAUCAUCAUGCCCCUUAUGACCUGGGCUACACACGUGCUACAAUGGGCAGUACAACGAGUCGCUAACUCGCGAGGGCAAGCUAAUCUCUUAAAGCUUCUCUCAGUUCGGAUUGCAGGCUGCAACUCGCCUGCAUGAAGUCGGAAUCGCUAGUAAUCGCGAAUCAGCAUGUCGCGGUGAAUACGUUCCCGGGCCUUGUACACACCGCCCGUCACACCAUGAGAGUUUGUAACACCCAAAGUCGGUGGGGUAACCUUUUGGAGCCAGCCGCCUAAGGUGGGACAGAUGAUUGGGGUGAAGUCGUAACAAGGUAGCCGUAGGAGAACCUGCGGCUGGAUCACCUCCUUUCUAAGGAA